rnacentral:snRNA from 1 species
CUACUUACCCGGCAGGAAAGAUGCCAAGAUCAAGAAAGAGGUUUUCACAGGCUGAGGUUCAUCCACUCUGUACUAAUCCCAUGAUUUUCCCAAAUAUGGGAAACAUUAAUUGCACAAUUUGUAGUAAUGAAGACUACAUUCACACUUUC